rnacentral:rRNA from 1 species
UACGGGGGGGGCAAGCGUUGUUCGGAAUUACUGGGCGUAAAGGGCUCGUAGGUGGCCAACUAAGUCAGCCGUGAAAUCCCUCGGCUUAACCGGGGAACUGCGUCUGAUACUGGAUGGCUUGAGUUUGGGAGAGGGAUGCGGAAUUCCAGGUGUAGCGGUGAAAUGCGUAGAUAUCUGGAGGAACACCGGUGGCGAAGGCGGCAUCCUGGACCAACACUGACGCUGAGUGAGCGAAAGCCAGGGGAGCAAACGGG